UACGAGGGGGGCAAGCGUUGUUCGGAAUUAUUGGGCGUAAAGGGCGCGUAGGCGGUGCGGUAAGUCACCUGUGAAAACUCUGGGCUCAACUCAGAGCCUGCAGGCGAAACUGCCGUGCUUGAGUGUGGGAGAGGUGCGUGGAAUUCCCGGUGUAGCGGUGAAAUGCGUAGAUAUCGGAAGGAACACCUGUGGCGAAAGCGGCGCACUGGACCACAACUGACGCUGAGGCGCGAAAGCUAGGGGAGCAAACAGG
rnacentral:rRNA from 1 species